rnacentral:ncRNA from 1 species
UCUUAUCAAGAGAGGCGGAGGGAAGGGCCCUGUGAAACCUCGGCAACAGAUUAUAAAGUAUACUGUGCCAACUCCUGCAGACAAUUGUCUGGAAGAUAAGA